UAGAUAUUUUUUUAGUCAUUGCGUAAAGAGAUUAGACAUAUUUUACAUGACAACAUCAAUCAUGUCAGCUGUGACCAAAAUAUCUUUUGUUUUUAGUGACCAAAAAUGGCUAUUGUUGUGGUUCCGGUGUAACGGUAUUCGAAAUAUUACGGAAAUAAUAACCAAUAGCUUGUGAAUCGCAAAAUAAAUUAAAUAUUAUACAAUGGUGGAGUGUGCAGUUGUUGCCUGCACUAACAAAACCCAAACAAAACUAGCGGGAAUUUCAUUUUACAAAUUUCCAAAAAAUCAUGAUUUAAGAAAAAGAAAAAAUGGCUAAACAGCAUUAACAGGCCUAAUUUCCAUCACGAUACAGCUGCAUAUGUAGUGAUCAUUUUAAGAAGGAUUACAUUAAUUUAACAUUAUGCUUUCCGCGCCUCAAAGACAAUGCCUGCCAAUCUAUCCCGAAUUUAUCACCUGAGCAACAAGUAAGACAACCCUUGCAAGAAGUGAACCUUAAUCUGUUAUUAGAGAGUCAUGACAAUGCUGUUUCCCAAAAUGGAAUAUAAUUAGUAUUGUAUUGUCUUGUCAAAUCAUGUUUAAAAACUAAAAUUUUUGUCUAGUAAAACGAUAAUCAAA